UUCACUUCCGAGUCUAUGUAUUCAUAUACCCUUUAUAAUUGAAGUCGAUGAAUGUAUUAGGCUUUGGCCAAUAAAACAAUACAACUUUCAACAAUGGAUCUCUUGGUUCUCGCAUCGAUGAAGAACGCAGCGAAUUGCGAUAUGUAAUGUGAAUUGCAGAAUUCAGUGAAUCAUCGAAUCUUUGAACGCACCUUGCGCCCUUUGGUAUUCCGAAGGGCAUGCCUGUUUGAGUGUCAUUAAAUUCUCAACUUCAACACUUUUUUGUAUUGAAGCUUGGAUGUUGGAGGGUCUUGCGGGCAUAUAUUAAUGUCAGCUCCUCUUAAAUGCAUUAGCAGAACCUGUGUUCGGCUCUGGUUUGAUAAUCCUAUCUAUGCCAUUGCUGAAAUGUCAUUGUUCAGCUUCUAAUGGUCCAUUGGACUGUCUCUUCAGAGGCAUAUAUUUUGACUUGACCUCAAAUCAGGU
rnacentral:rRNA from 1 species